rnacentral:rRNA from 1 species
UGUCUAAGUACAUGCCGUAUUAAGGCGAAACCGCGAAUGGCUCAUUAAAUCAGUUAUGGUUCCUUUGAUCGUACCUUACUACUUGGAUAACUGUGGCAAUUCUAGAGCUAAUACAUGCAGCAGAGCUCCGACCUUCGGGGACGAGCGCUUUUAUUAGACCAAAACCAAUCGGGCCUCGUGUCCGUGAAACGUGGUGACUCUGUAUAACUUUGGGCUGAUCGCACGGGCUCGUCCCGGCGACGUAUCUUUCAAGUGUCGCCUUAUCAACUGUCGAUGGUAGGUUACGCGCCUACCAUGGUCGUAACGGGUGACGGGGAAUCAGGGUUCGAUUCCGGAGAGGGCGCCUGAGAAACGGCGACCACAUCCAAGGAAGGCAGCAGGCGCGCAAAUUACCCACUCCCGGAACGGGGAGGUAGUGACGAAAAAUAACAAUACGGGACUCUUUUGAGACCCCGUAAUUGGAAUGAGUACACUCUAAAUCCUUUAACAAUUAGCAACUAGAGGGCAAGUCUGGUGCCAGCAGCUGCGGUAAUUCCAGCUCUAGUAGUGUAUAUUAAAGUUGUUGCGGUUAAAAAGCUCGUAGUUGGAUCUCAGUUCGAGCCAGGUGGUCCGCCAAACGGUGGUUACUGCCGGGUUUCAACACGGCCGGUUUCUCUUGAUGAUCUUCGCCGGUUGUCUCGAGUGACCGGCACGUUUACUUUGAAAAAAUUAGAGUGCUCAAAGCAGGCGUGACGCCUGAACAAUGUUGCAUGGAAUAAUGGAAUAGGACCUCGGUUCUAUUUUGUUGGUUUUCGGAACACGAGGUAAUGAUUAAGAGGGACAGACGGGGGCAUUCGUAUUGCGACGCUAGAGUUAAAGGAAUUGACGGAAGGGCACCACCAGGAAUGGAGCCUGCGGCUAAAUUUGACUCAACGCGCGAAAUCUUAUCCGGUCCGGACACAGGAAGGAUUGACAGAUUGAGAGCUCUUUCUUGAUUCUGUGGAAGGUGGUGCAUGGCCGCUCUAGUUGGUGGAGCGAUUUGUCUGGUCUAUUCCGAUAACGAGCGAGACUCUAGCCUACUAAAUAGGCGUUCCGAUUCUUCUUGGUCGGACGCUCUUCUUAGGGGGAUAAGCGGCGUUUAGCCGCACGAGACAGAGCAAUGCAGGUCAGUAAUGCCCUUAGAUGUCCGGGGCCGCACGCGCGCUACAUUGAACGAAUCAGCGUGUGUUUUCCCUGUCCGACAGGACUGGGUAACCCGUUAAAACUCGUUCGUGCUGGGGAUAGGGGCUUGCAAUUGUUCCCUUGAACGAGGAAUUCCUAGUAAGCGCGAAUCAUAAUUUCGUGCUGAUUAUGUCCCUGCCCUUUGUCCACACCGCCCGUCGCGUUACCGAUUGAAUGGCUUAGUGAGGUCUUCGGACUGGCGCUCGGAUUGGCCUUUAGGUUCGAGCCGUUGUGCCGGAAAGAUGUCCAAACUUGACCAUUUAGAGGAAACGAAAGUCGUAACAAGGUUUCC